rnacentral:rRNA from 1 species
AUACGGAGGGGGCUAGCGUUGUUCGGAAUUACUGGGCGUAAAGAGUGCGUAGGCGGCUUGUUAAGUCAGUUGUUAAAGACCUUAGCUUACCUGAGGAAAGGCAACUGAUACUGGCAUGCUAGAGGGCAAGAGAGAGAAGUGGAAUUCUCGGAGUAGCGGUAAAAUGCGUAGAUCUCGAGAGGAACACCGGUGGCGAAGGCGGCUUCUUGGCUUGUCCCUGACGCUGAGGCACGAAAGCGUGGGUAGCGAACAGGAUUAGAUACCCGGGUAGUCC